rnacentral:rRNA from 1 species
UACAGAGGUCUCAAGCGUUGCUCGGAUUCAUUGGGCGUAAAGGGUGCGUAGGCGGCGCGGUAAGUCGGGUGUGAAAUCUCGGAGCUUAACUCCGAAACUGCAUUCGAUACUGCCGUGCUUGAGGACUGGAGAGGAGACUGGAAUUUACGGUGUAGCGGUGAAAUGCGUAGAUAUCGUAAGGAAGACCAGUGGCGAAGGCGGGUCUCUGGACAGUUCCUGACGCUGAUGCACGAAGGCCAGGGGAGCAAACGGG